rnacentral:rRNA from 1 species
UACAGAGGUGGCAAGCGUUGUUCGGAAUUACUGGGCGUAAAGGGCGCGUAGGCGGUUCGUUAAGUCCUGUGUGAAAUCCCACGGCUCAACUGGGGAACUGCACAGGAAACUAGCGGGCUUGAGUUCGGGAGAGGGAAGCGGAAUUCCGGGUGUAGCGGUGAAAUGCGUAGAUAUCCGGAGGAACACCGGUGGCGAAGGCGGCUUCCUGGACCGACACUGACGCUGAGGCGCGAAAGCUAGGGGAGCAAACGGG